GCGAAAUUUCACAGGCUCACGGCGCACGUCAGUGCCAAGCGAAGAUUCACUUGUCGCGCUGAGUUCGUUCGUGUCGUGUUUCGCACAGCACAGCAGCAGCGAGUAACAGAGUACCAGAGUACCGUUAUGUAAAGCGAUUUUCAGUUGAAAGUACACAUACAAUAAGUGAAACGCUGCUGUGAGCAAAACUAAACUAAGCUAAGCGCCACUCUCACGCACACCCACAUUCCAUAAUUUGUUAUAAAUCAAUUGAUUCAAGCAGCAUUGUGAUAAACGCAGCGAACGUGCAAGAAAAACGCGCUAAGAAAUCUACUUCACAAUACUUAAAAAAAAAGCUAAUCGAAACACGCUGUGCCCAACUGUGCCGUAACACGGGACAUUGAAAAUACGAAGAAGAAGCAGAAGCGAACGAAAAAAAACGUUCCAGCAGCUAAACUGAGCGCAAGUGGCAUAUAACACAGUUCAAUAUAACAGUAAAGACCAAGCAUAAUUACAUAAUCAAAUAGUAAAAAAAAAUAGAAAAAAAAAACGAAACGAAACGAAAACAAACGAUAUAAGCUACAACUAGAUCAAACUUCAAGUGCAGCAUUACUUAAUCAACGACCCCGGAAACGCCUAAAAGCAAACUAAGAAAAAACCACAAAA